rnacentral:rRNA from 1 species
CGCACGGGUGCGUAACGCGUAUGCAACCUACCAUCAACAGGGGGAUAACACUGAGAAAUUGGUACUAAUACCCCAUAAUAUCUCAUGCGGCAUCGCAUGGGGUUGAAAACUCCGGUGGUUGAUGAUGGGCAUGCGUUGUAUUAGCUGGUUGGUGUGGUAACGGCUCACCAAGGCGACGAUACAUAGGGGGACUGAGAGGUUAACCCCCCACAUUGGUACUGAGACACGGACCAAACUCCUACGGAAGGCAGCAG